GUUAUUCACCGGCAAAUUUAGGGGAAAAAAGAGGCCACUGAUGAUAAAUUCUUAUCUAGGCAAUAUUUGUCCUUUCCCACUAGUGACUAGAAACGUAAAGGAAGUGUUAAACAUGAUCACAACACGUACCAGAUUAGAGUAACAGUGGGGCCAUCCAAUAUGGCUGCCAUUGGCUUCACUUAUGCACAGCAGAUGCUUUAUCCAGUCUUAUUUAGUCUUAUUUCAGAUCAGUGGUUCGAAUAUACUUAACUUUGAACGUUUAGCUUCACGAUCCUGUUGGUGUGGAGUAUUAGAGAGUUUAUGCUUCGCGUUAUACGUUUCAGGUAAUAAAGAGCAAGUUAGCUUGCCGUUUUAAAACUGAAAUACAUAAUUAUUCUUUCGACACAAGAUAGAAAAUAUGAAACGAAAACGUUCAAAAAAAAUUUGGCAAGAAAAUUCAAACCUGCCGUUUGAAUUGCCGUUCCCGGAAACGUGAAGCUUAUUUAGCUAUUUAAGUAACUCUUUAUUCUUAUUCAUUUACGUGGGAGAGGCGAUGCACUGCAUGAUUGUGUUUAAGUGUUUUCCACAGUAUAAACUGAAUUUAUCAUACGGUACCUCGAUCUACUUUCCAUUAUUCUUGAUUGGUUAGUGGAGCAGUGGAGAGGAUGGUGCGUUGUAAAUAUAUGUUGUGAAUUUCUCUGUGAACUUUUUACUGCAUACUGUAGUUCAUGUAAAGUAAUGUAACAUCAUUUUGUAAAAAUGUUGGGGUUUUUUUUCAUAAUUUAAUCCAAAUUUUCACCGUAUUUUGCUGAAAAUAUGGCAAUCUCUAUUCGAAAUUUAUAUAAAAAAUUCGAUCAGAACGCAGGAAAUCGCAUUUCCGAGGUUCUAGAUUUCCAAAUUUUGCAAAGACAUGAGGAAUUAUGCAUCUCUCAGCUAAAACCAUGGAUCCGGCCCUGUUGUAGAGGCCUAAGAACAUAUUUAUUAUCCAAAUAUGUAGUAGAUAAACCAUAAUAAGUAGACAAUAACUGUAAAUAUAAACAUAAUUAUUUUAACUUAUGCUUUUUAGAUAACAUAGAGAUAAACUUUACUUUGUAAUCUAUAGCAGUUGAAGACAUGGGCUAACAGGGCGGGGGGGGAGCCCCCCAGUUUGUUGGGCAAACAGUCGGGCAAUAUUGGCUUAUUAUAAAAAUAAAUGGGACAAAUUCUGUGAAUUUUGUGGGAAAUUCUGUCAAUUUUGUAGGAAAUAUGCUAUGUAAUAGGAAUUUCCACCCCCCCCCCGACAACAGUUUUGGAAAGUUUCUCUGAAAAUUUUCUUUUGACAACUCGGACACAAUCCAAAAAAAUAGGGCAAAUCUCUUUCCGCCCCAUAAUUUUUCAAUUCCCGUACGCCCAUGGUUGAAGAGCCACUCUGUGGAUACACUGUUAUUAAAUCAUUAUUAUAUGGAAUUCUUCAGGGGUAAAGUGUUUUGAGUUUGGAAUUCUUCAGGGGUGAAGUGUUUUGAGUUUGGAAUUCUUCAGGGGUAGAGUGUUUUGAGUUUGGAAUUCUUUAGGGGUAAAGUGUUUUGAGCUUGGAAUUCUUCAGGGGUAGUGUGUUUUGAGCUUGGAAUUCUUCAGGGGUAGGGUGUUUUGAGUUUGGAAUUCUUCAGGGGUAAAGGAUUUUGAGUUUGGAAUUCUUCAGGGGUAGGGUGUUUUGAGUUUGGAAUUCUUCAGGGGUAGAGUGUUUUGAGCUUGGAAUUCUUCAGGGGUAGAGUGUUUUGAGUUUGGAAUUCUUCAGGGGUAAAGGAUUUUGAGCUUGGAAUUCUUCAGGGGUAAAGUGUUUUGAGUUUGGAAUUCUUCAGGGGUAGGGUGUUUUGAGUUUGGAAUUCUUCAGGGGUAGGGUGUUUUGAGUUUGGAAUUCUUCAGGGGUAAAGGAUUUUGAGCUUGGAAUUCUUCAGGGGUAGGGUGUUUUGAGUUUGGAAUUCUUCAGGGGUAGGGUGUUUUGAGCUUGGAAUUCUUCAGGGGUAGUGUGUUUUGAGCUUGGAAUUCUUCAGGGGUAGGGUGUUUUGAGUUUGGAAUUCUUCAGGGGUAGAGGAUUUUGAGUUUGGAAUUCUUCAGGGGUAGGGUGUUUUGAGUUUGGAAUUCUUCAGGGGUAGGGUGUUUUGAGUUUGGAAUUCUUCAGGGGUAGGGUGUUUUGAGUUUGGAAUUCUUCAGGGGUAGGGUGUUUUGAGUUUGGAAUUCUUCAGGGGUAGGGUGUUUUGAGUUUGGAAUUCUUCAGGGGUAGAGUGUUUUGAGUUUGGAAUUCUUCAGGGGUAAAGGAUUUUGAGCUUGGAAUUCUUCAGGGGUAAAGUGUUUUGAGUUUGGAAUUCUUCAGGGGUAGGGUGUUUUGAGUUUGGAAUUCUUCAGGGGUAGAGUGUUUUGAGUUUGGAAUUCUUCAGGGGUAAAGGAUUUUUAGCUUGGAAUUCUUCAGGGGUAAAGUGUUUUGAGUUUGGAAUUCUUCAGGGGUAGAGUGUUUUGAGUUUGGAAUUCUUCAGGGGUAAAGGAUUUUGAGCUUGGAAUUCUUCAGGGGUAAAGUGUUUUGAGUUUGGAAUUCUUCAGGGGUAGGGCUUUUGAGUUUGGAAUUCUUCAGGGGUAGAGUGUUUUGAGCUUGGAAUUCUUCAGGGGUAGGGUGUUUUGAGUUUGGAAUUCUUCAGGGGUAGAGUGUUUUGAGCUUGGAAUUCUUCAGGGGUAAAGAGGUUUGAGAUCAAAAUUUUUCAGAGUUUGGAAUUCUUCAGGGGUACAGUGUUUUGAGUUUGGAAUUCUUCAGGGGUAAAUGAUUUUGAGUUUGGAAUUCUUCAGGGGUAGGGUGUUUUGAGCUUGGAAUUCUUCAGGGGUAGAGUGUUUUGAGCUUGGAAUUCUUCAGGGGUAAAGAGGUUUGAGAUCGAAAUUUUUCAGAGUUUGGAAUUCUUCAGGGGUAAAGUGUUUUGAGUUUGGAAUUCUUCAGGGGUAGAGUGUUUUGAGCUUGGAAUUCUUCAGGGGUAAAGGAUUUUGAGCUUGGAAUUCUUCAGGGGUAUAACUAUGAAAAACAUGUAUCCUCGACAGGGGGGGUACGGAUAUUAAAUGGAAUAGCCCAUUGUUAGUGACGAAUGAAAUGAUACUGCCAUAUUAAAAGCGAGUAUAUACGAGGGUAUAUACGUCUAAAGGUGAUACCCCAGGGAAACCUAAUAAUAAGAGACACCAAAUUUCACGUUUGAAGAAUUCAACAUCAAGUCGAAC
rnacentral:lncRNA from 1 species